rnacentral:rRNA from 1 species
UGGAUCCAGACUUUGAUCCUGGCUCAGGAUGAACGCUAGCUACAGGCUUAACACAUGCAAGUCGAGGGGAAACGAUAUUGGAAGCUUGCUUCCGAUAGGCGUCGACCGGCGCACGGGUGAGUAACGCGUAUCCAACCUGCCCAUCACUUGGGGAUAACCUUGCGAAAGUAAGACUAAUACCCAAUGAUAUCUCUAGAAGACAUCUGAAGGAGAUUAAAGAUUUAUCGGUGAUGGAUGGGGAUGCGUCUGAUUAGCUUGUUGGCGGGGUAACGGCCCAUCAAGGCGACGAUCAGUAGGGGUUCUGAGAGGAAGGUCCCCCACAUUGGAACUGAGACACGGUCCAAACUCCUACGGGAGGCAGCAGUGAGGAAUAUUGGUCAAUGGACGAGAGUCUGAACCAGCCAAGUAGCGUGCAGGAUGACGGCCCUAUGGGUUGUAAACUGCUUUUAUAAGGGAAUAAAGUGAGAGUCGUGACUCUUUUUGCAUGUACCUUAUGAAUAAGGACCGGCUAAUUCCGUGCCAGCAGCCGCGGUAAUACGGAAGGUCCGGGCGUUAUCCGGAUUUAUUGGGUUUAAAGGGAGCGUA